UCCCCGUUGCCGGGGCAGUCUGAUUAGAAAAAUACAACUAAUCACAAGGGUUGCGCUCGUUAGUGGACUUAACCAAACAUCUCACGACACGAGCUGACGACGGCCAUGCAACAUCUGUCACCGAGUUCAAUAAAGCACUCUCGCCUUUCGGCAAAAUUCUCGGGAUGUCAAACCCUGGUAAGGUUCUUCGUUUAGCAUCGAAUUAAAGAACAUGAUCCACCGCUUGUGCGGGCCCCCGUCAAUUCCUUUGAGUUUCAACCUUGCGAUCGUACUCCCCAGGUGGAAUACUUAAUGCGUUAGCUUUGGCACUGAACCUUACGGCCCAGCACCUAGUAUUCAUCGUUUAAGGCGUGGACUAC
rnacentral:misc_RNA from 1 species